GGCCUGAUGGUCUAGUAGUAUGAUUCCUUGUUAGGAUUCACGAUCUGUGGGUUUCUCGAGGAGGUCCCGGGUUCAAUUCCCGGUCAGGCCC